rnacentral:rRNA from 1 species
GCGUAUACAAUUUGCCUUUUACUGGAGGAUAGCCCAGAGAAAUUUGGAUUAAUACUCCAUAGUAUUAUUUAAUCACCUGACUGAGUAAUUAAAGUUCCGGCGGUAAAAGAUGAGUAUGCGUCCUAUUAGCUAGAUGGUAAGGUAACGGCUUACCAUGGCGACGAUAGGUAGGGGUCCUGAGAGGGAGAUCCCCCACACUGGUACGUGAGACACGGACCAGACUCCUACGGGAGGGCAGCAGUGAGGAAUAUUGGGCGAAUAGGAGGGCAACUCUGACCCACGCCAUGCCGCGUGCAGGAA